rnacentral:rRNA from 1 species
UACGUAGGCAGCAAGCGUUGUUCGGAGUUACUGGGCGUAAAGGGUGCGUAGGCGGUCCUGUAAGUAUGGUGUGAAAUCUCCCGGCUUAACUGGGAGGGUGCGCUAUAGACUGCGGGCCUAGAGGGUGGGAGAGGAAAGUGGAAUUCCUGGUGUAGCGGUGAAAUGCGUAGAUAUCAGGAGGAACACCAGUGGCGAAGGCGGCUACCUGGACCAGCACUGACACUGAAGCACGAAAGCGUGGGGAGCAAACAGG